GAUGAACGCUGGCGGCGUCCCUAAUACAUGCAAGUCGAGCGAAUGGAUUAAGAGCUUGCUCUUAUGAAGUUAGCGGCGGACGGGUGAGUAACACGUGGGUAACCUGCCCAUAAGACUGGGAUAACUCCGGGAAACCGGGGCUAAUACCGGAUAAUAUUUUGAACUGCAUGGUUCGAAAUUGAAAGGCGGCUUCGGCUGUCACUUAUGGAUGGACCCGCGUCGCAUUAGCUAGUUGGUGAGGUAACGGCUCACCAAGGCAACGAUGCGUAGCCGGCCUGAGAGGGUGGUCGGCCACCAUGGGACUGAGGCACGGCCCAGACGCCGACGGGAGGCAGCAGUAGGGAAUCUUCCGCAAUGGACGAAAGUCUGACGGAGCAACGCCGCGUGAGUGAUGAAGGCUUUCGGGUCGUAAAACUCUGUUGUUAGGGAAGAACAAGUGCUAGUUGAAUAAGCUGGCACCUUGACGGUACCUAACCAGAAAGCCACGGCUAACUACGUGCCAGCCGCCGCAGUAA
rnacentral:rRNA from 1 species